GGAGUGCUGACAACAUUCCUGGCAAUGAUUAAUGGUAAGGGUAGUGUGGGUGCACACACCCCAGGUGGCCAUGCUCAGCUAUGAGGAAGUUGAUCUGCAGGUUCUGCCAAACAGGUGCAUUGACCUGGGCAUCAAGAACAAACAUUUCCAAGGGCAAAGUCUACACAGAAACACUUUGAACUGGAGUGGAAUAAGAGCCAUGGGUCACUGCUGCAGAGGAGUCUGCCCAGGAUGAACCACAUCUUGAGCCUUACGCAUCUGCCAUUCAGAUGACAUUUAAAGGAGAUUUUGGACUUGAAGUUGGUGCUGGGACACGUUGACCUUGGGAGACCAUUGGAAAGAGAUGAGAUAUGAGCACACAGUGUUCUUACAGUCUGGAAGACACAGACACAAGGCACCACCAGAGAGCAGAGACCAGGCCCUUACCAGAUACCCAGCCUGUGGGCUCCUUGGACUUCCUGCCUCCUGAACUGUGAGAAAUACACUUAUAUGUCUAAAUAAAUCAUCCAGUCUGAGCCA